rnacentral:rRNA from 1 species
AUGAACGCUAGCUACAGGCUUAACACAUGCAAGUCGAGGGGCAGCAUGGUCUUAGCUUGCUAAGGCCGAUGGCGACCGGCGCACGGGUGAGUAACACGUAUCCAACCUGCCGUCUACUCUUGGACAGCCUUCUGAAAGGAAGAUUAAUACAAGAUGGCAUCAUGAGUCCGCAUGUUCACAUGAUUAAAGGUAUUCCGGUAGACGAUGGGGAUGCGUUCCAUUAGAUAGUAGGCGGGGUAACGGCCCACCUAGUCUUCGAUGGAUAGGGGUUCUGAGAGGAAGGUCCCCCACAUUGGAACUGAGACACGGUCCAAACUCCUACGGGAGGCAGCAGUGAGGAAUAUUGGUCAAUGGGCGAGAGCCUGAACCAGCCAAGUAGCGUGAAGGAUGACUGCCCUAUGGGUUGUAAACUUCUUUUAUAAAGGAAUAAAGUCGGGUAUGGAUACCCGUUUGCAUGUACUUUAUGAAUAAGGAUCGGCUAACUCCGUGCCAGCAGCCGCGGUAAUACGGAGGAUCCGAGCGUUAUCCGGAUUUAUUGGGUUUAAAGGGAGCGUAGAUGGAUGUUUAAGUCAGUUGUGAAAGUUUGCGGCUCAACCGUAAAAUUGCAGUUGAUACUGGAUAUCUUGAGUGCAGUUGAGGCAGGCGGAAUUCGUGGUGUAGCGGUGAAAUGCUUAGAUAUCACGAAGAACUCCGAUUGCGAAGGCAGCCUGCUAAGCUGCAACUGACAUUGAGGCUCGAAAGUGUGGGUAUCAAACAGGAUUAGAUACCCUGGUAGUCCACACGGUAAACGAUGAAUACUCGCUGUUUGCGAUAUACGGCAAGCGGCCAAGCGAAAGCGUUAAGUAUUCCACCUGGGGAGUACGCCGGCAACGGUGAAACUCAAAGGAAUUGACGGGGGCCCGCACAAGCGGAGGAACAUGUGGUUUAAUUCGAUGAUACGCGAGGAACCUUACCCGGGCUUAAAUUGCAGAUGAAUUACGGUGAAAGCCGUAAGCCGCAAGGCAUCUGUGAAGGUGCUGCAUGGUUGUCGUCAGCUCGUGCCGUGAGGUGUCGGCUUAAGUGCCAUAACGAGCGCAACCCUUGUUGUCAGUUACUAACAGGUUCUGCUGAGGACUCUGACAAGACUGCCAUCGUAAGAUGUGAGGAAGGUGGGGAUGACGUCAAAUCAGCACGGCCCUUACGUCCGGGGCUACACACGUGUUACAAUGGGGGGUACAGAGGGCCGCUACCACGCGAGUGGAUGCCAAUCCCCAAAACCUCUCUCAGUUCGGACUGGAGUCUGCAACCCGACUCCACGAAGCUGGAUUCGCUAGUAAUCGCGCAUCAGCCACGGCGCGGUGAAUACGUUCCCGGGCCUUGUACACACCGCCCGUCAAGCCAUGGGAGCCGGGGGUACCUGAAGUGCGUAACCGCGAGGAGCGCCCUAGGGUAAAACUGGUGACUGGGGCU